AAAUGGCCGSGGUAUUUUGACCGUGCAAAGGUAGCAUAAUCAUUAGUUUUUUAAWUGAAAGCUUGUAUGAAARGUUUGAUGAAAAAUUUUCUGUCUCUAUUUAAAUUUAUUAGAAUUUUAUUUUUAAGAAAAAAAGCUUAAAUAUUUAUAAAAGACGAGAAGACCCUAUAGAACUUUAUAAUUUUUUUUUUAUUAAUAAUUUUAGUCUAGAAUUUUAUAUAAUGAAAAAUUAUUUUAUUGGGGUGAUAGGAAAAUUUAUUAAACUUUUCUUUUAUAUUUUCAUUUAUUUAURAAUUUUUGAUCCUUUAUUUAARAUAAAAAAAAUAAKUUACCUUAGGGAUAACASCGUAAUUUUUUUUUARAKUUCAAAUUAAAAAAARARAUUGCRACCUCRAUKUUGGAUUAAAAUGUAUUAUUGGUGUARAASCUAAUAUGUUAGGUCUGUUCRACCUUUAAAAUUUUACAUGAUCUGAKUUUAAMCCGGUGUAASCCAGGU
rnacentral:rRNA from 1 species